rnacentral:tRNA from 1 species
GCGGAUGUAGUUUAGUGGUAGAACUUCAGCCUUCCAAGCUGAUCGUGAGGGUUCGAUUCCCUUCGUCCGCUCCA